UCCAGGUUACGAUACUGUUCCUGAAAAAGAGACUGCGAUGUUUUGAUAAGUCAUCGCCAAUAUCUACUAUAAAGAGGUUGAAAACUCCAGGUGCUGGAAAUGCUCUUAAACAGAUACGUAAGCUCAGCUCCAUCAGUCUUUUGAAUCCCUUUUGGGAGGUAGAGUCCCAGAAAGAAAGGGCUUAUUGGGACAUUUUGUCGUAGCAUUAUAAUAUCCAGGUUAAAAGCAAACAGUAUUUGAGCCAUUCUGCUUUCAAAAAACCCUGCUGUUUCUAUUAGGACAGUUCCAAAUGAUAUGUUAAUUUUUAAAAAUUAUUGUUGAGUUUGCUCAUUCCAGCUGUCUGGACUGCCAGAAAUACAGUGUCUGCUCAGCCUUGGGAAGGAAAGUUCGCCUGCUGCAGCCUUGGCCUAAUUGAAUACAAGGACCUGUCAGAGGACAGAACUUGCCGUGUGACCCUCGCAGGUUCCAGCAGGAUGAUUUCUGUGACUGAGACACACCACGUUGCCUACGGACUGCUGCAUUUAACCAGUGGCAAAAUCCAGGGUUUCAGAGUGUGCUCUUAAAAAUAUUGGAGCCAACCUGUGACAGCCAGAGGAAAAACAGGAGUGGACAAUGAAGUCUGUGAUGUCAAGACAGACACAUAAAGGAAUGAGGUAAGGUUCGGUGUUUGCCUCUAAUAUGUUGUUUCAGGGU
rnacentral:lncRNA from 1 species